UGCAGUGCUUCCGUUACCUUCUUGGAGCUAUAAACCUCAUGUGCUCCGCCAUGGCUUCCAAGAUCGACAUCUUUGCUGCGUCCAUAUUGAUCCUGGCACUCCUCGUGUCCAGCGGUAAGUACAACACUCCAUUACAUGUUUCUAACAAUCGUUACAUAUUUUGAAGAAAAGAUCAUGUUAUUUAUAACAUGAACAAAACACCUUUGAUAUGUUAGCAGACGCGGCUGAUCACAGCUGUAAGUGCGAGGCGUGCAUCAGGGCACCGGAUCCGCACUGCUACAGCAUUGAAGCGUGCUUCAAGCAGUGCCAAGACUUCGGCUACACCGUCGGAUACUGUUCAGUCGUUGAACAAAUGAUCUGCAUCUGCGGGGUCUGCACGAGUCAAGAGCCCUUCCAGCAUCCUAGAAAGUCUCUUUCACUAGAUCCCUAAAAAUGUUGUGCGGACACACGGGAAAAGAAGCCUUGUAUGCAAAGGUGCUCCUUCAUAGAUCCUUGUAUCAUGGCGGUUCCUUUUUUUUCAACGUUGGCUUGGCAGCGGCAAAGGUCGAUAGUGGAUGAUAUUUCAGCGUGGCACAAGAUCCUGUUGUAUUGAAAUUCCAGUUUUACUUUUGUAGUCUUUGGUGCAAUAUUACAAGAGAUUUAUGUUUGUUUCUUGUGGUGACCACAUAUAUAUGUGUCCUUUUUGUAAUUCGUUUGUUCAAUAAAAUAUAUG
rnacentral:lncRNA from 1 species